rnacentral:ncRNA from 1 species
GGUAAACGGCGGGAGUAACUAUGACUCUCUUAAGGUAGCCAAAUGCCUCGUCAUCUAACUAGUGACGCGCAUGAAUGGAUAAAUGAGAUUCCCACUGUCCCUAUCUACUGUCUAGCGAACCCACAGCCAAGGGAACGGGCUUGGAAUAAUCAGCGGGGAAAGAAGACCCUGUUGAGCUUGACUCUAGUCUGACGUUGUGAAAUGACUUGGGAGGUGUAGAAUAAGUGGGAGGCUUUGCCGUCCGUGAAAUACCACUACUUCCAAUGUUGUUUUACUUAUACCAUCAUGUAACAACUGCGCGGCUUCGCGGUCGUUUCAGUUCUAGAAAUAAGCUUGAACUUUGUUUGAGUGAGUUACGUGGA